GAUGAACGCUAGCGGGAGGCCUAAUACAUGCAAGUCGAGCGGUAGAGUGACUUCGGUUGCUUGAGAGCGGCGAACGGGUGAGUAACGCGUACACAAUCUACCUUUAAGAGGGGAAUAGCCCUGGGAAACUGGGAUUAAUGCCCCAUGGCAUCACGAGACGGCAUCGUUUUGUGAUUAAAGCUGAGGUGCUUAGAGAUGAGUGUGCGUCUGAUUAGCUAGUUGGUGCGGUAACGGCGCACCAAGGCGACGAUCAGUAGGGGGCGUGAGAGCGUGGACCCCCACACGGGUACUGAGACACGGACCCGACUCCUACGGGAGGCAGCAGUAAGGAAUAUUGGUCAAUGGAGGAAACUCUGAACCAGCCAUCCCGCGUGCAGGAAGAAUGCCCUAUGGGUUGUAAACUGCUUUUAUCUGGGAAGAAAAAGGACUUUUACUAAGUCGUCUGACGGUACCAUAUGAAUAAGCACCGGCUAACUCCGUGCCAGCAGCCGCGGU
rnacentral:rRNA from 1 species